AGUAGUCAUCCGCUCGUCUCAAAGAUUAAGCCAUGCAUGUGUAAGUGUAAAUAUUAAAGUUUGGAGCUGCGAAUGGCUCAUUAUAUCAGUUAUAGUUUAUUUGGUGAAGUGUACUACUUGGAUAACCGUAGUAAUUCUAGGGGUAAUACAUGAGAAAGUCCUUUGGUGAGGUGUGUUUAUUAGAAUGAAAACCAUAUGCUUCGGCAUGAUAGUGAGUAAUAGUAACCUAUCGUAUCGCAUGCUUAAUGUAGCGAUGAGUCUUUCAAGUUUCUGCCCUAUC
rnacentral:rRNA from 1 species